rnacentral:rRNA from 1 species
UAGGGAAUAUUGCGCAAUGGGGGAAACCCUGACGCAGCAACGCCACGUGAGUGAGGAAGGUCUUCGGAUUGUAAAGCUCUGUUAGCGGGGAAAAAUGGCAAUCGGGGUAAUAUUCCGGUUGAUUGAUGGUACCCGCAGAGGAAGCACCGGCUAACUUCGUGCCAGCAGCCGCGGUAAUACGAAGGGUGCAAGCGUUGUUCGGAUUUAUUGGGCGUAAAGGGCGUGUAGGCGGAUAAUUAAGUCAGGUGUGAAAUCUCGGGGCCUAACCCCGAAACUGCGCCUGAAACUGAUAAUCUAGAAUCUCUAAGGGGGCCGGGGAAUUUCAUGUGUAGGGGUAAAAUCCGUAGAGAUAUGAAGGAACACCUGAGGCGAAGGCGCUGGCCUGGGAGAGUAUUGACGCUGAGACGCGAAAGCGUGGGGAGCAAACAGG